rnacentral:rRNA from 1 species
CUAACAAGGAUUCCCCUAGUAACUGCGAGUGAAGCGGGAAAAGCUCAAAUUUAAAAUCUGGCAGUCUUUGGCUGUCCGAGUUGUAAUCUAGAGAAGUAUUAUCCGCGCUGGACCGUGUACAAGUCUCCUGGAAUGGGGCGUCAUAGAGGGUGAGAAUCCCGUCUUUGACACGGACUGCCAGGGCUUUGUGAUGUGCUCUCAAAGAGUCGAGUUGUUUGGGAAUGCAGCUCAAAAUGGGUGGUAAAUUCCAUCUAAAGCUAAAUAUUGGCGAGAGACCGAUAGCGAACAAGUACCGUGAGGGAAAGAUGAAAAGAACUUUGGAAAGAGAGUUAAACAGUACGUGAAAUUGCUGAAAGGGAAACGCUUGAAGUCAGUCACGUUGGCCAGGGAUCAACCUUGCUUUUUUGCUUGGCUUACUUUCUGGUUGAUGGGUCAGCAUCAAUUUUGACUGGUGGAAAAAGUUCAAGGGAAUGUGGCAUCUUCGGAUGUGUUAUAGCCUUUGUUCGCAUACACUGGUUGGGAUUGAGGAACUCAGCAUGCCGCAAGGCCGGGUUUUUAACCACGUACGUGCUUAGGAUGCUGGCAUAAUGGCUUUAAUCGACCCGUCUUGAAACACGGACCAAGGAGUCUAACAUGCCUGCGAGUGUUUGGGUGAAAAACCCGAGCGCGUAAUGAAAGUGAAAGUUGAGAUCCCUGUCGUGGGGAGCAUUGACGCCCGGAUCUGACCUUUUGUGACGAUUCUGCGGUAGAGCAUGUAUGUUGGGACCCGAAAGAUGGUGAACUAUGCCUGAAUAGGGUGAAGCCAGAGGAAACUCUGGUGGAGGCUCGUAGCGAUUCUGACGUGCAAAUCGAUCGUCAAAUUUGGGUAUAGGGGCGAAA